rnacentral:lncRNA from 1 species
CCUAGAAGAGUAUUUAGCUACAUAUAAUCAUGAAGAACACUAAAAGAUUCAUAAAAUUAAGAGAAAAGAAUAACCCAAAAAUACUUCAAUUGUUGUUGGUAUUCUCCUCUAUGUUCUUCAAUCUCUGCCUCUCAAAAAUAUGUACAGCGUCCUUUUAGAACAGAAGAAAAGCGUUCUCUAUUUAUAUCCUUGUUGUGCCGCCUCUGUUUCCAUUUUAAUUCCUUCGUCAGUAAGUCCUCUCUUCUUCUCAUCACCGCCUUCAGCACUUGUGUUCCAAUUGUGUUGCAACUUGAUGCAAAAUAGACAAAAUCAUUAACUCUCCUUUUUUCAAUCUCUGACCGCCAAACAAACUCUCAUAGCUAGCUGUAUUCCUUUUUCCUUUCAACUUGGACAAGCUUCUUCCUUUUCAAUGGGCCUUCGUGUGCCUUUCUUUUGGGCCAUUCAUAUCUACAUAAAUAAUAUAAUAAUAUUAAGUAAUAUAUAUUUAAGUGAUUAGUAUUAAUAAUAUAUGAUAUAUAUAAUAAUAGUUAGUAAUAAUAAAUACUUAAGUGAAGCUAGUAAUUUAUAUAAUAAUAAGUAAUUAUUAUUCUAAAAUAUCACAAAAGUAUCUACAUAUAAUACACUAAAUUUGAGUUUAUCAACUCCCCCACACUUAACCUUUGCUUGUCCUCAAGCAAAUUUCCUGGCUCAAUACAUUUUUUUUAAAGAGAUGAUAGAGAUAGCCAAAUGAGAGAUAAAAAAUUAUAAGCAACAAUGACAGACAAUAUAAAAUAUAUGAAGUAGUCAAAAGGUUGCCCAAUUAGAGUCUUAUAUGUCCAUCAAAACUACCUUUAAAUGAACAUGAGCAUUCUCUCACAAUCUCUCAAAGUGUUUAGGGACUUUGGAAAAUAAGCACUCAAGUUUCCACAAAAUGCACAUUACCAUAGGCUUGUAAUUUGACCAAAUCUCCACUAAAUAGUCUACAUGCAUGCAAAAGAUGAGGUCUUACGGGUUGUAACGGGGCCAUGGUUAAGUUGUGCAAGGUGGGAUAUAAAAAGAAAUGGAUAAUCAAAGGGGUAAAAAUACAAGAAACAAAUAGCAACCUUUGAAACAAAAAUGGAGCUCAUGUAUACUUUAUACUUUUAACUGUUGCUUCAAACUCCAAAUCAACACCUCUUCCUUUCUUUUCUACCACAGUGUGCUCUUUCAAUAAUUUUUUUUUUUUCUUUCUUCUUUCUAUCAUGCUCAUAAAACAAUUGAGCAACUCAAACAUGAAAAUUCU